AGAGAUGUGUGAUGACGCAUAUCAAUAAGCGGAGGAAAAGAAACUAACAAGGAUUCCCCUAGUAACGGCGAGUGAAGCGGGAAGAGCUCAAAUUUGAAAUCUUCAAGGGUUUCCCUUGACGAAUUGUAGUUUAAAGAAGUGCUUUCUGUUAGAGAGGUGGUAAAAGUUCUUUGGAAUAGGACAUCAUAGAGGGUGAGAAUCCCGUAUUUGAUCACUUUCUACUAACGUUGUGAUACACUUUCAAAGAGUCGGAUUGUUUGGGAAUGCAGUCCAAAAUGGGUGGUAAAUUUCAUCUAAAGCUAAAUAUUGGCGAGAGACCGAUAGCGAACAAGUACCGUGAGGGAAAGAUGAAAAGAACUUUGAAAAGAGAGUUAAACAGUACGUGAAAUUGUCAAAAGGGAAGCGUUUGACACCAGUGUUGUUUAGUUGAAAAUCAAUUCAAUAGUUUUUGAUUCUAAGUAGUAUUGACUUCAUCAGCUUGCUGCUUUCUUCUCAGAAAUUAUUGAAUGCACUUUUCAGUUAACAAGUCAACAUCAAUUUCUUUUGUUGUAAAAGAGUAUGAGGAAGGUGGCUUUCUUUUCGGAGAAAGUGUUUAUAGCCUUGUACUUCUGCAAUCGGAGAGAUUGAGGUCUGCAGCGUAGAUCCUUCGGGGUUAGAUACAUUUGUGCUAAGUUAUAGCUUUUCAUAGACAACUUGUUGAUUAUGUUAAGUCUUGUAGCUUACUCGCUUAUGCUAUUUUACCUACGCUUAGGAUGUUGACGCAUGAGAUAUACGC
rnacentral:rRNA from 1 species